rnacentral:sRNA from 1 species
CUAGGUGACUUUUAUCUAGAACUUCACUGGGAUUUUCAAAGCUGGGUGCCUUUACUUUCCCGAAUUCUGCCUUCCGAUGCAUGUAAAAUAUACAAACAAGGUAUCAAUAUCAGGCUUGACACAACUCUCAUAGACUUUACUGACAUGAAGUGCCAACGAGGGGAUCUAAGCUUCAUUUUCAAUGGGGAUGCGGCGCCCUCUGAAUCUUUUGUAGUAUUAGACAAUGAACAAAAAGUUUAUCAGCGAAUACAUCAUGAGGAAUCAGAGAUGGAAACAGAAGAAGAGGUGGAUAUUUUAAUGAGCAGUGAUAUUUACUCUGCAACUUUAUCAACAAAAUCAAUUUCUUUCACGCGUGCCCAGACAGGAUGGCUUUUUCGGGAAGAUAAAACAGAAAGAGUAGGAAACUUUUUGGCAGACUUUUAUCUGGUGAAUGGACUUGUUUUAGAAUCAAGGAAAAGAAGAGAACAUCUCAGUGAAGAGGAUAUUCUUCGAAAUAAGGCCAUCAUGGAGAGUUUGAGUAAAGGUGGAAACAUAAUGGAACAGAAUUUUGAGGUAUAAUUUUUAAUUCUUCUAAUUUGUAGUUUUCUAAGAAGAGAGGGGAUAGAUUUCAUUCUUGGUGGCAUUCAGUAAGUAUAUAAAUGUACUCACAGCUUUUAUUUACUAUGUGUUACCUUUUUCUGUGAAUCUUCAUUUCGUUGAUGUCAUUAUUAUGAAGACAAAAAAAAGGUCUUUUGGGAUUUUUUUGUGAAUCUGUACUUUAUCUUUGAGUCUUCGUUAAUAAAUAGAUUAAAAGCG